UACGUAGGGUGCAAGCGUUAAUCGGAAUUACUGGGCGUAAAGCGCGCGUAGGCGGCUUUGCAAGCCGGAUGUGAAAUCCCCGGGCUUAACCUGGGAACUGCAUUCGGGACUGCAUUGCUAGAGUAUGGGAGAGGGAAGUGGAAUUUCAGGUGUAGCGGUGAAAUUCGUAGAUAUUCGGAAGAACACCAGUGGCGAAGGCGGCUCACUGGACUGGUAUUGACGCUGAGGUGCGAAAGCGUGGGGAGCAAACAGG
rnacentral:rRNA from 1 species